AAACUUGAGAGUUUGAUCAUGGCUCAGAACGUACGCUGGCGGCACGCCUAACACAUGCAAGUCGAACGAAGUAGCAAUACUUAGUGGCAGACGGGUGAGUAACAUGUGGGUAUCUGCCCUUUGGCCUGGAAUAACACGAGGAAACUUGUGCUAAUACCGGAUAAGUCUUUACGGAGAAAGCUUUAUGCACCAUUGGAUGAGCCUGCACUUGAUUAGUUUGUUGGUGGGGUAAUGGCCUACCAAGACUGUGAUCAAUAGCUGAUUUGAGAGGAUGAUCAGCCACAUUGGGACUGAGACACGGCCCAAACUCCUACGGGAGGCAGCAGUGGGGAAUCUUGCACAAUGGAGGAAACUCUGAUGCAGCGAUGCCGCGUGAGUGAAGAAGGCCCUUGGGUUGUAAAGCUCUUUCGUCGGGGAAGAAAAUGACUGUACCCGAAUAAGAAGGUCCGGCUAACUUCGUGCCAGCAGCCGCGGUAAUACGAAGGGACCUAGCGUAGUUCGGAAUUACUGGGCUUAAAGAGUUCGUAGGUGGUUGAAAAAGUUAGUGGUGAAAUCCCAGAGCUUAACUCUGGAACUGCCAUUAAAACUUUUCAGCUAGAGUGUGAUAGAGGAAAGCAGAAUUUCUAGUGUAGAGGUGAAAUUCGUAGAUAUUAGAAAGAAUACCAAUUGCGAAGGCAGCUUUCUGGAUCAUUACUGACACUGAGGAACGAAAGCAUGGGUAGCGAAGAGGAUUAGAUACCCUCGUAGUCCAUGCCGUAAACGAUGUGUGUUAGACGUUGGAAAUUUAUUUUCAGUGUCGCAGGGAAACCGAUAAACACACCGCCUGGGGAGUACGACCGCAAGGUUAAAACUCAAAUGAAUUGACGGGGACCCGCACAAGUAGUGGAGCAUGUGGUUUAAUUCGAAGAUACGCGCAGAACCUUACCAACACUUGACAUGUUCGUCGCGACUCUAAGAGAUUAGAGUUUUCGGUUCGGCCGGACGAAACACAGGUGCUGCAUGGCUGUCGUCAGCUCGUGUCGUGAGAUGUUGGGUUAAGUCCCGCAACGAGCGCAACCCUCACUUUUAGUUGCCAUCAUUAAGUUGGGCACUCUGAAAGAACUGCCAGUGAUAAGCUGGAGGAAGGUGGGGAUGACGUCAAGUCCUCAUGGCCCUUACGUGUUGGGCUACACACGUGCUACAAUGGUAUCUACAACAGGAAGCAAGACUGCGAAGUUAAGCAAAUCCCUAAAAGAUACCUCAGUUCGGAUUGCACUCUGCAACUCGAGUGCAUGAAGCUGGAAUUACUAGUAAUCGUGGAUCAGCGUGCCACGGUGAAUGCGUUCCCGGGUCUUGUACACACCGCCCGUCACACCAUGGGAGUUGGUUCUACCUUAAGGCAAGGUUUCAAACCCUUGACCACGGUAUAGUCAGCGACUGGGGUGAAGUCGUAACAAGGUAGCCGUAGGGGAACCUGCGGCUGGAUUACCUCCUUU
rnacentral:rRNA from 1 species